rnacentral:rRNA from 1 species
GAUCUGGCUCAGGAUGAACGCUAGCGGCAGGCUUAACACAUGCAAGUCGAGGGGCAGCGAGAUUGAAGCUUGCUUCAAUUGUCGGCGACCGGCGGACGGGUGCGUAACGCGUAUGCAACCUACCCAUAACAGGGGGAUAGCACUGAGAAAUUGGUACUAAUACCCCAUAACAUCUCGAGUGGCAUCACUUGGGGUUGAAAGCUUCGGUGGUUAUGGAUGGGCAUGCGUUGUAUUAG